CCCAGACUCCUACGGGAGGCAGCAGUGGGGGAUAUUGCACAAUGGGGGGAACCCUGAUGCAGCGACGCCGCGUGGGUGAAGGAGCGUUUCGGCGCGUAAAGCCCUAUCGGCAGGGAAGAAGGAGGACGGUACCUGACUAAGAAGCCCCGGCUAACUACGUGCCAGCAGCCGCGGUAAUACGUAGGGGGCAAGCGUUAUCCGGAUUUACUGGGUGUAAAGGGGGCGCAGACGGCAGCGCAAGCCAGGAGUGAAAGCCCGGGGCCCAACCCCGGGACUGCUCUUGGAACUGCGCGGCUGGAGUGCAGGAGGGGCAGGCGGAAUUCCUGGUGUAGCGGUGAAAUGCGUAGAUAUCAGGAGGAACACCGGUGGCGAAGGCGGCCUGCUGGACUGCGACUGACGUUGAGGCCCGAAAGCGUGGGAAGCAAACAGGAUUAGAUACCCUCGUA
rnacentral:rRNA from 1 species